rnacentral:rRNA from 1 species
GUAAUCGUAGGUCAGCAUACUACGGUGAAUACGUUCCCGGGCCUUGUACACACCGCCCGUCAAACCAUGAGAGUUGGCAACACCCGAAGUCGGUAGUCUAACCGCAAGGAGGACGCCGCCGAAGGUGGGGUUGAUGAUUAGGGUUAAGUCGUAACAAGGUAGC